GAUGAACGCUGGCGGCGUGCCUAAUACAUGCAAGUCGAGCGAACAGACGAGGAGCUUGCUCCUCUGACGUUAGCGGCGGACGGGUGAGUAACACGUGGAUAACCUACCUAUAAGACUGGGAUAACUUCGGGAAACCGGAGCUAAUACCGGAUAAUAUAUUGAACCGCAUGGUUCAAUAGUGAAAGACGGUUUUGCUGUCACUUAUAGAUGGAUCCGCGCCGCAUUAGCUAGUUGGUAAGGUAACGGCUUACCAAGGCGACGAUGCGUAGCCGACCUGAGAGGGUGAUCGGCCACACUGGAACUUAGACACGGUCCAGACUCCUACGGGAGGCAGCAGUAGGGAAUCUUCCGCAAUGGGCGAAAGCCUGACGGAGCAACGCCGCGUGAGUGAUGAAGGUCUUCGGAUCGUAAAACUCUGUUAUUAGGGAAGAACAAAUGUGUAAGUAACUAUGCACGUCUUGACGGUACCUAAUCAGAAAGCCACGGCUAACUACGUG
rnacentral:rRNA from 1 species